UACGGAGGGUGCAAGCGUUGUCCGGAUUUAUUGGGUUUAAAGGGUGCGUAGGUGGUAUUGUAAGUCUGGUUUGAAGCUGGUCGCUUAACGAUCAGAUGUGGCUGGAAACUGCGGUACUUGAAUGGAUUGGCGGUAGCCGGAAUGGGUCAUGUAGCGGUGAAAUGCAUAGAUAUGACCGGAACACCGAUUGCGAAGGCAGGCUACUACGAUUUGAUUGACACUGAGGCACGAGAGCAUGGGUAGCGAACAGG
rnacentral:rRNA from 1 species